rnacentral:rRNA from 1 species
GACGGCGGGGUGACGGCCCACCGUGGCGACGAUGCGUAGGGGUUCUGAGAGGAAGGCCCCCCACACUGGGACUGAGACACGGCCCAGACUCCUACGGGAGGCAGCAGUGAGGAAUAUUGGUCAAUGGGCGGAAGCCUGAACCAGCCAAGUCGCGUGAGGGAUUAAGGCCCUGCGGGUCGUAAACCUCUUUUGCCGGGGAGCAGUGGUCCGGACGCGUCCGGGCCGGGAGAGUACCCGGAGAAAAAGCAUCGGCUAACUCCGUGCCAGCAGCCGCGGUAAUACGGAGGAUGCGAGCGUUAUCCGGGUUUAUUGGGUUUAAAGGGUGCGUAGGCGGGCAUUUAAGCCGGCGGUCAAAUGUCGGGGCUCAACCCCGGCCUGCCGUCGGAACUGGGUGCCUUGAGUGGGCGAGAAGUAUGCGGAAUGCGUGGUGUAGCGGUGAAAUGCAUAGAUAUCACGCAGAACCCCGAUUGCGAAGGCAGCAUACCGGCGCCCGACUGACGCUGAGGCACGAAAGUGCGGGUAUCGAACAGGAUUAGAUACCCUGGUAGUCCGCACAGUAAACGAU